UGGGGAAUAUUGGACAAUGGGGGCAACCCUGAUCCAGCCAUGCCGCGUGUGUGAAGAAGGCCUUUUGGUUGUAAAGCACUUUAAGCAGGGAGGAGAGGCUAAUGGUUAAUACCCAUUAGAUUAGACGUUACCUGCAGAAUAAGCACCGGCUAACUCUGUGCCAGCAGCCGCGGUAAUACAGAGGGUGCGAGCGUUAAUCGGAAUUACUGGGCGUAAAGCGAGUGUAGGUGGCUCAUUAAGUCACAUGUGAAAUCCCCGGGCUUAACCUGGGAACUGCAUGUGAUACUGGUGGUGCUAGAAUAUGUGAGAGGGAAGUAGAAUUCCCAGGUGUAGCGGUGAAAUGCGUAGAGGUCUGGAGGAAUACCGAUGGCGAAGGCAGCUUCCUGGCAUAAUAUUGACACUGAGAUUCGAAAGCGUGGGUAGCAAACAGGAUUAGAUACCCUGGUAGUCCACGCCGUAAACGAUGUCUACUAGCCGUUGGGGUCCUUGAGACUUUAGUGGCGCAGUUAACGCGAUAAGUAGACCGCCUGGGGGAG
rnacentral:rRNA from 1 species